GACGUUUCUCCUCACCCUCCCCACCAGGUUGCAGGAAACACACACGCAAUCGUUUUACACACAGGACGGACGGUCAAGUGCGUGUGGUCCUCGUCAUCACCCAUAAGACCGUCUGCUGGCAUCAGGCAAGCAGGAUCACAACACCUCACUUUUCCAGUGAAAUAAUCCAUUCAUCAAGGAGAAAUUGAAUCGGAAAGGUAACACGUGUGGCAUGCAUCAAGUGAGUUCUCUGGUUAGGGUCUCACAAGGCUGAAAUCAAGGUGUCAGUGGGCCUGGGACCUUACCUGGAGGCUCCGGGGAAAAAGCAGCUGCCAAGCUCAUUCAUCCAGGAAUUGGCUCCCAUGUUUGUGGAGGCUGACAAGACCCAAGACCUGCACGUGGCAAGGUGGAGACCCAGGAGAGCUGAUGGUGUAGUUCCAGUCCGAGUCCAAAGGCCUGAGAACCAGGAGAGCCAGUGGUAUGAAGAAAAUGAGGCAGCAAGGCACUGCUCCGAGUUUAAGAAAUGGGAAUGAGUGGAGAGCUUGGAAAGUGAGAGCCACAAUAUUGGGCCCUUCUGUGGAAGAAGCUGAGUAGCCAGAUCAAGGAAAUGAGGCAGCAGUGAUUUGAGGCCUCUCACUGUUGUGGCCUCUCCUGUUGCGGAGCACAG